ensembl:lncRNA
AAGUCAUUUUUGGCUCCUAUAUUUAACUAUUAUUAUUGCUAAAUUAUCUUUAUCUGUAGUUAAAACUAUAAUUCUGAGCAAGUCAUGUGUUUUGUUGCUACCCUGGCAUUAUACUUUUAGUUUUCUUUUUUGUUCUUCCUGUUUUGAUUUUAAAACAUUUUGUCAUGUAACCUAAAAAUGUGGUUUUAUUAAAGUCAAAAUAAAUUACAAGCAUUUUUCAUAUGACUUAACCUACCUGACGUAAGCAUCAGAUCAGGUGAAAAUGUCUCUUUAAUGUAACAGCUGCACAGUGUGACACUGAGUUACUGGUUUUACUCAAUAAAUCUUUGCACAUGAUGAGUCACAUUCACUGUCUGUCACGUUAUGUGUUUAUAGCUCAGAUUCAGUGUUAGGAGAUUCAGACUCUAAACAAUGAGUUGAAACAGGUGAUGUAGUGUAGUGUGUGAUUACAGCAUGUGUUCAGAGACAGUUUCUUUCUGAUAUCUCCUGUCAUCUCUCAGUCUGUUUUCAUUCUUCAUCUUCAUUGGUUGCUCUCUCAUGUACUAAAUAUGGAUGUUGUUGGAGUCUCUGCUGCUGGACGGGGGUCUCUGUGAGUGUGUGUGUGCAGGACAGUCAUCUCUCCGUGGGACAGAGUCUGUCUCUGUUCUGUCUGGAUCAUCUGACUGCUGUGAGAUGACUGGCACAUGAUGAACACAGAGGAAUAUGACACACACACACAGCUUAACCAUCAUGGAAUGGAAUGCACAGGAUUGUGGGAUAUGAUAGGCACUGAAGGAUACAUCUAUGCUGCCUUCAAAACUCGAUCAGAUGAAGGCAUCUCAGGAGACAGGAAGUGGAGUUGUCAUUGGAUUUGGAUGUGUCUUGAUGUCUUCCUACCUCGGGAAGCUUCCUUCAAAGACAGCAUUAUUCAGCAUUCGGACGCAUCCAUUGAAUCAGUCACAAAGUUAUCUUCCUCACUGCACACUCUUAGUCUAGCAAAGUGUAAGAAUUACAGAAAUUCAGACACUUUGAUCUUCUGAGACAUACAAAAUGGAGUCAGAUUAGAUCAUGAAAUGGAGUCAGAUUUGAGUUUAACUUAAAUUGAAUAACUUGGCAUGCUGAAAAGACCGAACAAACAAAAAACCUUCAGCCAGCACUGGAUACCUUCCUUGGAUCGAGUGCGUGGACCUUACAAAAGCAUUGUAGGCAAUGUAUCCUUAAAGCUGAAGAGCAUGAUUUAAACUGUUUCUGUGGUUAUUAAAAACAAUAAAAAAAAUUCAUGAAUCA